CUUUAGUCAGGAUUAGGGUUUUAAACCCUAAACUGAACUCUUCCCUUUAGUCAUCAUUAAGGUUUUAAACCCUAAACUGAACUCUUUCCUGUAGUCAGCAUUAGGGUUUUAAACCCUAAACUAAACUCUUUCCUUCAGUCAGCAUUGGGGUUUUAAACCCUAAACUGAACUUUUUCCCUUUAGUCAGCAUUAAGGUUUUAAACCCUAAACUGAACUCUUUUCCUUCAGUCAGCAUUAGGGUUUUAAACCCUAAACUGAACUCUUUUCCUUUAGUCAGCAUUAGGGUUUUAAACCCUAAACUGAACUUUUUCCAUUUAGUCAGCAUUAGGGUUUUAAACCCUAAACUGAACUCUUUUCCAUUUAGUCAGCAUUAGGGCUUUAAACCCUAAACUGAACUCUUUUCCAUUUAGUCAGCAUUAGGGUUUUAAACCCUAAACUGAACUCUUUCCUUCAGUCAGCAUUAGGAUUUUAAACCCUAAAUUGAACUCUUUUCCUUUAGUCAGCAUUAGGGUUUUAAACCCUAAACUGAACUCUUUUCCUUCAGUCAACAUUAGGGUUUUAAACCCUAAACUGAACUCUUUUCCUUCAGUCAGCAUUAGGGUUUUAAACCCUAAACUGAACUUUUUUCCUUUAGUCAGCAUUAGGGUUUUAAACCCUAAACUGAACUUUUUCCAUUUAGUCAGCAUUAGGGUUUUAAACCCUAAACUGAACUCUUUCCUUCAGUCAGCAUUAGGGUUUUAAACCCUAAACUGAACUCUUUUCCAUUUAGUCAGCAUUAGGGUUUUAAACCCUAAACUGAACUCUUUUUUGUAGUAAGCAUUAGGGUUUUAAACCCUAAACUGAACUCUUUCCUUCAGUCAGCAUUGGGGUUUUAAACCCUAAACUGAACUUUUUGCCUUUAGUCAGCAUUAGGGUUUUAAACCCUAAACUGAACUUUUUCCCUUUAUUCAGGAUUAGGGUUUUAAACCCUAAACUGAACUUUUUCCCUUUAGUCAGCAUUAGGGUUUUAUACCCUAAACUGAAUUC
rnacentral:lncRNA from 1 species